rnacentral:rRNA from 1 species
AUUGAACGCUGGCGGCAGGCCUAACACAUGCAAGUCGAACGAGUGGCGGACGGGUGAGUAAUGUCUGGAAAACUGCCCGAUGGAGGGGGAUAACUACUGGAAACGGUAGCUAAUACCGCAUACCAUCGGAUGUGCCCAGAUGGGAUUGGCUAGUAGGUGGGGUAAAGGCUCCCCUAGGCGACGAUCUCGAGCGGGUCUGAGAGGAUGAUCAGCCACACUGGGACUGAGACACGGCCCAGACUCCUACGGGAGGAAGCAGUUGGUAAUAUUGCACAAUGGGCGCAAGCCUGAUGCAGCCAUGCCGCGGGUAUGAAGAAGGCCUUAGGGUUGUAAAGUACUUUCAGCGAGGAGGCGUUACUCGCAGAAGAAGCACCGGCUAACUCCGUGCCAGCAGCCGCGGUAAUAC